rnacentral:lncRNA from 1 species
UUUCGUCUCCGGACGAGACUUUCGGCCGCCGAAGGUGCCGCCGAACAUGCAUGCGUUUCGUCUCUGGAGGGGGGUUUCGGCCGCCGAACCAGCCGCCGAAAGUGCCUGUCCAGCCUUCUUUUGCCCAUUUUUUUCCAUGCAUGCCUAUGAUGUUUUAGAGGGGUUUUGGGGAGAUGUUCAGAGUGAUGUUUAAUGAAGUUUGGUCCUCAUUUGCGUCCACCUGUGUAGGUGCGGACCCGAGGAACCCAGAAGGCCCACAGAGUUAGAGUUACAGAGAUUGCUCAGCAGUUGACAGAGGUGAGUGGAACAGAACUUUAUUUUAAAAGUUAAUAAUUGUUUUAGCAUGAGUCAUGCAUCAUUAAUGCCAUGUUUAUGUAGGAUGCUUUGCAUUAGUAUUCACCAAGUUGAUGCAUUGCAUUAGUACUUGUAUAUGUGGAUUGGACCGAGGCGAUCUCAAUAGCCCAUAAGUCUGUCAUUAUUGUAUGUCCUGUGUGAGCUCCUUUGGGGCCGGGCAUUUAACUUGGAUAAGUCCUGUGAGAGCCCUUAUAGGGUCGGGCACCAUGAGUAGUUAGUGAAAGACCUGUGUGAGCUCCUUUGGGGGCCGGGCAUCGACAGAGGGAGUUUUGGGGUCAUGUCCAAUCCGAGAUGUGAAAUGUUUGUGCAGUGACGCAUUUCAUGCUAGCAUAUUUUAAAUGUUUUUAUGGAUUCCGCUCACUGGGCUCUCGUAGCUCAUCCCUCUCCCUAACCCCAUGUUUCAGGGCCUCAGAGAAGAGAAAGAGAAAGAGAAAGCAAGGGUAAAAGCAUAUGUAAUAGUACAGAGUAGUGGACAUGAUGUAUAGUACAGAGUUUUUGUAAUGGAUAGAAAUGAGAUGUAUUGAGUUAUAGACUUGUGCUUGGCCCUAGUGUUUGUUUAUCCCUUUGCACAUGAUCAUUUUAUGUUUAUAUAUUAUGAUUGAGAU